GCUGCAGAAGAAGCACCGGCUAACUCCGUGCCAGCAGCCGCGGUAAUACGGGAGGGUGCGAGCGUUAAUCGGAAUUACGUGGGCGUAAAGCGCAUGCAGGUGGUUUGUUAAGUCAGAUGUGAAAGCCCCGGGGCUCAACCUCGGAAUUGCAUUUGAAACUGGCAGACUAGAGUACUGUAGAGGGGGUAGAAUUUCAGGUGUAGCGGUGAAAUGCGUAGAGAUCUGAAGGAAUACCGGUGGCGAAGGCGGCCCCCUGGACAGAUACUGACACUCAGAUGCGAAAGCGUGGGGAGCAAACAGGAUUAGAUACCCUGGUAG
rnacentral:rRNA from 1 species